CGAGAAUAAGAAACGUGCAAAUUGAUGAAUGGCUGGAAGGACUGAGUAAAAAAUGAUCGUGAUCCUAUUUUCAAUAUUACUUCUGGCUCUACAAUGAUCAUGAGAUGGAAUCAAUCUCUGAGCAGUGCGGUACAAGUACCAUGUGAUCACGCAAGAUAUGGAAUAUAUUGAAGAAUGUCUUGUUUACAUAGCUCCGGGGUCAGCAAUUAAGGUCCAACCGACAACAACUAUACGAAUUGAACGGCGAGGACCCAGAAAGGCAAACACCAGGCGAAAAGAAAAGAUUAGACUGAGGGGUCUUGGAGAACAGUUUUUCCCUUUGAGAGCUGGGCUGGGACCCUGAGGGGUCUUGGAGAACAGUCUUGUCCCGUUUAGGGCUGGGCUGCCAAGGGAUCUCCCUGAGGGGUCUUGGGGAACUGUCUUGUCUCUUCCAGGGCUGGGCUGCCAAGGGAUCUCCCUGAGGGGUCUUGGAGAACAGUCUUGUCCCUUUCCGGGCUGGGCUGCCAAGGGAUCUCCCUGAGGGGUCUUGGAGAACAGUCUUGUCCCUUCUAGAGCUGGGCUGCCAAGGGAUCUCCCUGAGGGGUCUUGGAGAACAGUCUUGUCCCUUUCCGGACUGGGCUGCCAAGGGAUCUCCCUGAGGGGUCUUGGGGAAGAGCCUUGUCUCUUUCAGGGCCAGGCUGCCAAGGGAUCUCCCUAAGGUCUUUUCCUACUUGAGCCAUCGAUAGACCAAGGUGUGAUGAAGCAAGAUUUGAACGUCAAGAAAAUAUAACGUGAAUUGGGACCCAGCUACCC